UCAUAAAAUUAAUGAUAAAAAUAUGUUUUUAUCAAAAUUAAGAGUCGUUUUUUUAUUUCUAGUCAUAAAAUGUGAGUUAUUCGAAAAUUAUUGCAAAGUAGAUUAAUAACGCCUAGGCGGUUAGACCGUAUCGAACUUUUUAGUUAAAAAAAAAGUGUGAAAAAUGCGGUUCAAGAGACAAACCCUGGUGUCAGGGGACACCUCGGAGGAGGAGAUCGGCCACAGUUACCUGGGCACUUUGAUGUAUGGUCGCUACCAACGCGACCUCAGCGAAGCAGCCAGAGAGGAGGCCCGGAGGCUGCGCAGGCUGCGCAAGCGGCGGCGGAAAGACGACAAACUCCGACAGAAGGAGCUAGAGGCUACAGGCAAACAUAGACCUAGGGGGAAGUUCUUCAAAGUUUUAGGGUAUGUGUGGAGGCACACGUUCGCGAGGCUGGGCGAGGACUGGAUCUUCCUGGCCCUGCUGGGCAUCAUCAUGGCGUGCCUCAACUUCGCCAUGGACAGGGGGAUAGCUGUUUGUAAUAAUGCUCGCAUGUGGAUGUACAAAGACCUGGCGACGACCACCUUCAGUCAGUACGUAGCGUGGGUGUCGCUACCAGUCUGCCUCAUACUGUUUGCGGCUGGAUUUGUGCACAUCGUCGCCGCACAAAGUAUCGGGUCCGGUAUACCCGAGAUGAAGACGAUCCUGAGAGGAGUGCACCUGAAGGAAUACCUAACGUUUCGAGCGUUGAUAUCCAAACUAGUUGGUCUCACUGCUACGUUAGGUUCAGGACUGCCUUUGGGAAAAGAGGGUCCAUCAGUCCACAUAGCAUCCAUGGUGGCCUCCCUAUUGUCCAAGCUGGUGACGAGUUUCCAGGGCAUUUACGCCAACGAGUCCAGGACCACUGAGAUGUUGGCAGCCGCUUGUGCUGUUGGCGUGGCGUCCUGUUUUGCGGCUCCCGUGGGAGGUGUCCUAUUCUCAAUAGAAGUAACGACAACUUACUUCGCGGUGAGGAAUUACUGGCGUGGCUUUUUCGCCGCUUGCUGCAGUGCCAUUAUGUUCCGCCUGCUGUCGGUGUGGUCGGGCGCCACGCCCACGGUGAAGCCGCUGUUCCCCACCACCCUCCCCCAGGACUUCCCCUUCGACCCACAGGAGUUCGCAGUCUUCGUCUUGCUGGGGAUAGUGGCCGGAUUGUUGGCAGCGUUAUGGGUGUUCCUUCACCGUCAAUACGUGCUGUUCAUGAGGAACACGAAGACGCUGAGCAACUUUCUGCAGAAGAAUCGUUUCAUCUACCCGGGCUUCAUGACACUAGCUGUGAUGUCGAUACUGUUCCCGCCCGGGAUAGGGAAGUACAUGGCCGCCGACCUCGGGAACCAGGGGCAGGUGUACGCCCUGUUCGCCAACUUCACGUGGGGAGACGAGUUGACGGCGCAGCAGGCGGCCGUAGUGUCUCACUUCGAAACGCCCGAAGUCAAUUAUUUCGGAUGUCUCGUCAUCUACUUUUUCUCUAUUUACUUCCUAAGCAUGGUGUCCUGCACUCUCCCCGUGCCGGCCGGGAUCUUCGUUCCCGCCUUCAAAAUGGGCGCUUGUCUGGGCAGGUUCACGGGCGAAGUCAUGCACUACUUCUGUCCUUUGGGCGUCGCCUACGGUGGCCAUAUCCAGAAGAUUUUGCCAGGCGGUUACGCGACUGUCGGCGCCGCCGCUUUCACGGGCGCUGUGACGCACACAGUGUCCACAAUAGUCAUCGUCAGCGAGAUGACUGGACAGGUGACCCACAUACUGCCAGUGAUGGCGGCGGUGUUAGCGGCCAACGCUACCGCUUCGCUGCUACAGCCCUCCUGCUUCGACAGUAUUAUAUUGAUCAAGAAGUUACCCUAUCUACCUGACUUGCUGUCUUCCGCCAGUCGCAUGUACGACAUAUGCGUGGAGGACUUCAUGGUGCGUGACGUGAAGUACAUCUGGAACCGGAUGACCUUCCAGCAGCUCAAGGACUUGCUUAAAGAGAAUAAGGCAAUCAAGAGCUUCCCUCUGGUAGACAGUCCAGCGUCCAUGGUCCUCCUGGGCUCCAUACACCGCUGGGAACUAGUCCGUGUCAUAGAGAAGCAAGUGGGGAGAGACAGGAGACUGCAGAUAGCCGCUAGGUGGCAUAGAGAGGCGGAAGCCAGGAGGAGAAAUGAGGAGGCCAGGAAGAGAAGACCGUCCAGAUUUGAGGUGACUCCAGCACCAGACAUGCUCCAAGUUCCGGGAUCGGGCAUGAUGAGAGGCUCGUCCCUCACAACGAAUGACCAAGGAGGACUUAUACCAUCGCCUGGGCAGCUGUUCCGUCCGAAAUCGAUCCUGAAGAAGACCAACUCGUUCACGUUAUCCCGGGGGUUGGCUUCCCCCACAACCCACGCCCCACUCUCACCGCAACCGUCCGUCUACACCACCGUUACGGGGGCUGAGACAAGGAUCCGCGCGGCGUUCGAGGCGAUCUUCAAGCGGUCGUCGCUGCUGCAGGACGUGCCCGCGCCCGACGCGGAGGCGCCCGGCCUGCCGCGGAGCCCCUCCAUCAACAAGAAGGUGCAGCUGCCCCGUGAACGCGUGUGCGACAUGUCCCCCGAAGACCAGAAGGUGUGGGAGCAGCUAGAGAUGGCCAAGGAGAUCGACUUCGACCGGAUGCUGCAGAUAGCCAGGAAGAGGGACACGCACCCUGACGACGUGGAGUACGAAGACGAGAACCUUUACAUCUGCCACAUCGACCCGGCGCCGUUCCAGCUCGUCGAGAGGACGUCAUUACUGAAGGUCCACUCGCUGUUCUCAACGUUGGGUGUGAGUAGAGCGUACGUCACAGCCAUCGGCCGGCUGAUAGGAGUCGUAUCACUUAAAGAGCUCCGCAAAGCAAUAGAGGACGUGAACUCUGGAGUGCUGACGCUGGCCACGCGGCCGUCGCCGCCGGCCUCGCCCGCGCCCACGCUCAUCAGGGUGGUCAGCUCGCAGCCCGCGCCGCCCAGCGACUGCGACACCGCCAAGCUCACCACCAAGGGAGACAAGUAGACCGCCAAGGGGGGCCACUCCAGGGGUAGGUAGAUCGCUACAUCGGGGGACAAGUAGGUCACCACCACGGGGGUCGGUAGUUGCCGCUCCAGGGGUAGGUAGAUCGCUACAUCGGGGGACAAGUAGGUCACCACCAUGGGGGGUCGGUAGUCGCCACUCCAGGGGUAGGUAGAUCGCUACAUCGGGGGACAAGUAGGUCACCACCAUGGGGGGUCGGUAGUCGCCACUCCAGGGGUAGGUAGAUCGCUACAUCGGGGGACAAGUAGGUCACCACCAUGGGGGGUCGGUAGUCGCCACUCCAGGGGUAGGUAGAUCGCUACAUCGGGGGACAAGUAGGUCACCACCAUGGGGGGUCGGUAGUCGCCACUCCAGGGGUAGGUAGAUCGCUACAUCGGGGGACAAGUAGGUCACCACCAUGGGGGGUCGGUAGUCGCCACUCCAGGGGUAGGUAGAUCGCUACAUCGGGGGACAAGUAGGUCACCACCAUGGGGGGUCGGUAGUCGCCACUCCAGGGGUAGGUAGAUCGCUACAUCGGGGGACAAGUAGGUCACCACCAUGGGGGGUCGGUAGUCGCCACUCCAGGGGUAGGUAGAUCGCUACAUCGGGGGACAAGUAGGUCACCACCAUGGGGGGUCGGUAGUCGCCACUCCAGGGGUAGGUAGAUCGCUACAUCGGGGGACAAGUAGGUCACCACCAUGGGGGGUCGGUAGUCGCCACUCCAGGGGUAGGUAGAUCGCUACAUCGGGGGACAAGUAGGUCACCACCAAGGGGGUCGGGAGAUUUACCACUCCGGGGGUAUGUAGAUUCACCACUACGGGGGUAUGUAGAUUCACCAAUCUGGCGGUAUGUAGAUUAACCACUCCAAGGGUAUGUAGAUUCACCACUCCGGAGGUAUCUUGAUCGCCACUCUGGGCAUAUUACCACACCGGGACACAAGAAAGAAAAAUAUUUAAAAAAAAGUAAAGAACAUAGAUAAAAUAUGUACAGUUAAAGUCCAAAUAUAAAAUAAGAUGAGAUAUAGGAAAUUUCGGUUGAAUAAGACGUAUUAGUGAUUCAUAACAAAUGUUUAAGUAUUAUUGGACGAAGGUUCGCAGUCACAGUUCGCAUGUGGUAUUUCUAAGGUAUUCAUUAUAUCAAUAUCUUGAUUUUUAACAAUAUUUCUGAGGUGUCCACAAUAAGAAUAUUUUUUUUACAAAAAUUCAUAAAUGUUAUUUUUAAAAGGGCUAUGAUUUUUCUCUCGACUAAUUAAAUUACAUAUUUAUCUAUAGUUAUGUUUAGUGAUGGACCUAAUAAACUCCCUUGAGGAGUCCCAAAAUUGACAGAGACGAUAGUAAUAUCAUUAUUUCUGUAAACCACAAUAUCAUGAGCCUCUGUCUACCCAUUGAAAGAGAAAGAAGUUCAUGAUUUAAGUAAAUUUUGAUCAUACGUAAUUGAAUAAUAUAUCCUAGUGACGAUCAAAUGAAAUAUGACAAAAUCAAAUCGUCAUUAAUGUAUAAUAAAUAAAUUAAAUUGAUCGAUUAAUUAAUUCUUUUCUUUGCUGGCUGUUAAGUUUUAUUGCUAAACAAAAUUAGAAAAAGUAAGAUUAAAAAAAUUUAAACUUAUGUUUUGACAAAAUAAGCAGAGGCCCUAUUACAGUGCCUUGUAGUGUGCCGCAUUUACCAAGUGGCCUUGCUAUUUAUUAAUACGAAUAGUGACUACACAGCCAAAAAAAAAACAUAUCUUUAUAUUAUUUAUUAACAUUAAAUACGUUAUAAUUUGCAAUAAACUGCCUUAUCGAUAAAUUAUGAUACUUUAAAACCUACUGUAGUUUUCCCAUACAUGGCUCUACCAACCAUCCAAUUAUCCAUGCAAAGUCAUGUUCGGAAUGAGCUGCUCUCGCUUUUUCUCACCCUUUCUUGACUCCCUACAAGUUAUCUAAACUUUCCCUUUAGUUCUGCAUUACUCACCCCCUUUAAUUUAGUACUUUAGGACCAGUCAAAGUCAUAUAGACUAGUACUGAAUCGAACUCGUCAAAAAUGGAUGCGAUUUUGACGUAACUAUAGAUGAUGUAAUGUUUAAGCAUAAUGACGUGCCUUAGAGAAUAUGUACGAGUUUAGUUUUAAUCAUUGUUUGUAAUUUAUUUAGGAAUUAAAUUUGUCCGUGGUCGAAUGGUUAAGGUAUCUGAUUUAAAAGUGAUAAACAGAUUCGAAUCCCACCGCGGCCGUGUACCAAUGACUCUUUACUGAGUAACGUACAUUAGUUGGAUUGCUAACCGAUGCUCUGACGAUGAGGGUAACCAUCGCGAGAUAAUUUUUGACAUUCAGGCAACUGAAUGUGUAUCCAUGAUUCAAUAUGGGUUAGGUUCCCCUUGUAAAGGUUGCGGAGGUCAGAC
rnacentral:misc_RNA from 1 species